rnacentral:rRNA from 1 species
UACGAAGGGGACUAGCGUUGUUCGGAAUCACUGGGCGUAAAGCGCACGUAGGCGGAUGUGUCAGUCAGGGGUGAAAUCCCGGGGCUCAACCUCGGAACUGCCUUUGAUACAGCACGUCUCGAGUCCGGAAGAGGUGGGUGGAAUUCCUAGUGUAGAGGUGAAAUUCGUAGAUAUUAGGAGGAACACCAGUGGCGAAGGCGGCUCACUGGUCCAUUACUGACGCUGAGGUGCGAAAGCGUGGGGAGCAAACAGG